GACAGAGGUGCCAAGCGUUAGGCGGAAUCACUGGGCUUAAAGCGUGUGUAGGCGGAUCGUUAAGUACCUUGUGAAAUCCCACGGCUUAACCGUGGAACUGCUCGGUAUACUGGCGGUCUUGAGCAACCUAGGGGCGAGCGGAACAAAUGGUGGAGCGGUGAAAUGCGUAGAUAUCAUUUGGAACGCCAAUGGUGAAAACAGCUCGCUGGGGGUUUGCUGACGCUGAGACACGAAAGCCAGGGGAGCAAACCGG
rnacentral:rRNA from 1 species